ACUGUUGUUAAGAAAGCAAUUCGUGCCAUUUAUUAAAAAAAGUCUUAACAACACAGAUAUAUGUUCAGAUGCUGCAAACCCAUACCCUAAAGUCACUCAUCCCUCCACCAAAUUCCAGUCACCCCCAAACUCCCUUGAGAAAUCAAAGGAAGACUACAGCAACACACUUAGUUCAGAGAUGAUGGAAAUCGUGGUUGAUAUGAUGGUCAAAUAUACAUUUUCUUCUUAUUUGACCCAACCAAAAACAACUGCAGUUGUAGAACCACUCCUGCACAAUGGAGCGUCAAGAAGUUGGUUGCUUGGCAAUGUGUUGAUCACGGUUACAGUCAACAAGCGGGCAACUUCGAACAUGUCAUGCGCAUAUUGUUCG